CCAACCAACCAACCAACCAACCUAACCCUCGUGCACAUAAAUCUGUCAAUAAACUUUUGAAAAAUCAAGCUUGUUUUUCUAGUUUACAUAUAUUGUUGGAAAACUAGAAACACUGUGGUGUGGUGUGGAACUCCACCUUUUUCCACUUUUUUUUUUUUUUUUUGCAGACAGUGUCACACAAUGGAACUUGGGUUGGCCUAGAAGUCACCAUGUAAACCAGACUGGCCUUGAACAAUACAAAGAGACCAGUCUGCCUCUGUGUAGAGAACCAACAAUCAGAGUGGCUGUGACUGUUUCCGUGAACUCCCCAUAAGAAGGUGUAGGGUAGGUCACUAGAUUCCUGUCCAUCCCUUCUAUAGCUUCUUCUUAGCUGUAUCUAGUACCUUCCUCUGCUGCACGUGGUCCUAUGUGGUGUUGGAGGAUGUUGGAGGGUGGAAACUCUACUGAGGGACUCCAUCUCCUGCCCUGUGGGGAAGUUGUCAUCCACACUGGGGAAAAAAUGUUUUGUUUGCCGAUGAGACUGUUUUGGCAUCUCCCAUGUUCGUCUACGUGAGUUCGAGAAACACAUAGGUUCAUGUGAUUAGACUUGUGUGGAAUUUUCUGGUUUGUCCCUGGUGCUGUAUUCCUAGCUGGCAGGAGAACAGAUAUUUAUGUCUCGACAGGUGUCUUGGUCAUCGUUCUACUGCUGUGAUGAGACACCAUGAUCAUGGUAGCCCUUAUGAAGGAAAGAAAGUAUUUAACUGGGGUCUUGCUUACAGUUUCAGAGAAUUAGUCCAUUAUCAUCAAGGCAUGGAGAACCUAGUCUAAACUCUAAGGAGUUACCUCUCCUUAGGUUCAUGCAUCUGUCCCUCAGAGUUUGGGGCAACUUUCCUGUACUUGACUAUUUCCCAGAUCCUCUCUCUGUCUGCCAGAUGUCCUACCUUUUAAUCCUUAGCUCAUUGGCCAUAGCUUUUUAUUGUCAGGCGAGGCUUCCACACAGUAUGCAGUCUCUAUACACACACCUACUAAUCCUUCUAAUCCUUUCAAAUAGGUGACUUAACAUUCAAAAAUAUGCACCUAUGGGGACAUCCUUAGUCAAACCACCACAACCAGAAAAGUUCAUGCAACACCUGGAAGUCAUGUAAAGUAUCUGUCCUGUGUUGAAUCUCUUCCUACUGGGUCCUUGUCACUUAUUAUAGCUAAUAUCCAAGGGCUUUCAGGAGACAGCAUGGUGUUAUGGUGAAGAAGGGAACUUGUCGUUAGUCUUCUGAACCGCGGUUGAGAGAUUCACUAUGUGCAAAGCUUUAGGUAAGUAAUGUUUCCUGCCCAAGUUUUCUUACAUACAGACAGGUCUAAUAAUAUUUCCCGACAUGGGGUUAUAAGGAUUAAAUAGCAAAAUAAAUAUAAGUAUGUAUAAGAGUCAGAAUUACGCAGAGUUUAUUGAUCUCUAUGUGUAUCUACGUAGAGUAAUCAAACAGCGAAUGCUCUGCGAUGGCAUUCACCUCAUCGUCCAGAACGUUAGUCCAUCUUCCUUAAUGUGAAGUCUUAUAAUAAUGGAGUUGUAGCUGCUUUCCAGGGUGUUUCAAUGCCUCAGGCUGGGGCCUUUUGGCCUCUGCAUUCAUGCGAAGGUUCAAUGUGGAAACAAAAAUUUAAACCCCACCUUCCCAAAGGAAUCAUUGAAAAACUUGAUCUUGUUUUGCUUUGUGAAAUUACAGAGGGUGAUUUUUGUUUUGCACGACUUAUGAGGAUCGAGAUAUCAUCUUUAAACUGAUGGCGCCAAGCGUGUCUUCUGGAAGGCUCAGAUAUGUACCAUGAGAAAUGAUCUCCUCAACACAUUUCAGUGAGAGUUAGUUCCUCUGGUGAUGGCUAUUAUUAACAUCCUGUCAGUGUCUUGGCUGAGAUUUUGAUUGUUUGCCUCCCGUUCAACAAGACCUUGGCCACACAUAUUGCAGAAACUGGAAAUGAGUAUCUUACUGUCAUAAAAAUAGAGCUUUCUUCCUUUUUUUAAAAAUUUAAACUUAAGUGUAUUAGUGUGUCUGUGGCGGGUGGAAUUUCCUGAACCUAGAAUUACAGGUGGUUGUGAGUUGCUUGAUGGGGGAGCUGGGAACCAAGGGUGGGUUCUUUGCAAGAGCAGUAAGUGCUCUGAAUUGUGGAAUCAUCUUUCUAACCCCAAUAUUCACCAAUAGCUCCUGUCCCCUGCACGUACCCCACAUAUCCCUGCCUGUCCCCUCCUAUGGACAUUUUUUAAAAUGAUUUAAAUGUCUUCAGACACACCAGAAGAGGGGAUCAGAUCUCAUUACAGAUGGUUGUGAGCCACCAUGUGGUUGCUGGGAUUUGAACUCAGGACCUCUGGAAGGGCAGUCAGUUCUCUCAAACACUGAGCCAUUUCUCCAGCCCUCCUAUGAACUUUUAAUGCUAGCUUUUAUUCUCUGCAUGGCUGGUCAGAUGGCUGGCUGGCCCCUUCCCCUCCCCAUCUCAAACACCUCACCCCAAGUAGCCAGUGGUCAGGAGUUCCACAGAGUAGAAUCCUUGCUGCCUGCGGUCUCCAUUGCUCAAUUAUAGCCCCCCCAAAGGUGCAGAUUCUCACCAGAACUCUCUUAUCUUCAACUUCUUCCCCAUGCUUUUAUGAACCAGCUCCGGUGAAGAAAUGCUAGGUUCAAAUGGGUGUCUUGUCUCCUAGACCAAAGCUGGAGGUUGCAAAGCACAGUCACUCCCAUGAUUUGAAUGAUGGCUUUUUCCAGUUGUGCCUGCUCAGGGAAGGCCGGUAGGCACUCACUCCUUCAGGCAAGCUCUGUCAAUAAGCCUAGGGACAACGGCUUGGUGAAGUGCUUUAGCCCAGACAGGUUAAGUGCUUCGAUUCAAGUUACAAAGUUCAAAGAUACCUUUCGCUGAUUUCCUUUAUGCUGUUUGAAGUUGUGGGUUUAUGGGUGUGUGCGUGUGUGUGUGUGUGUGUGUGUGUGUGUGUGUGUGUGUGUUCACAAGUAAGAUUUUUACUUUUUUUUAAAAAACUUGCUGGGAGAAAUAUAUUGCUGUGCUUAAGGUCUUGCUUAUUCAUUCAAUAAAUAUUUAUUAAGUUCUUAUUGGGUGUCAGGCAGUGUGCCAGGGCAAUCUUCCACUGAGCACCGAGUCUGUUAAACAAACAUGGUUUAUUGUCCCCUGGAGCUGCAGAAUGAGGCUCUAGGUCAGUUGCUGUAUGCACAAAACAUACCACAUUGUGUUGUGGGGGUUCCCGGGACCAGACACUUUAGUCUCAGUCACCAAAGAGCCCCACUGUUUCUUGUCCCCUGCUAUGCCUCGAUCUAAGAUGUCAGUCCAUACCGGAGGCAUUUGACUGACGUUUCUACAGGGAUGGCUGGUAGAUUCUGUUUCUUUGCAGCGGCACAAACAAUAGUGUCUCCCUUGAAGGCUAAGGUAGCACAGGGUAGUCCAAAUGAGAGAGACUCUAGUUCCAGCUCUCCUCUCUACAGUGCUAAGAAGUCCAUCCGGGUUGGCGGGAGCUAGGAAGAAGGAAGGGGGAGGCGCCUGUUCUGGCCAAUAGGAGGCUACUCUUGAGGGUGGGUGGUCUUUUGCUGAACUGUUCCGGCCUAUAGGAGGCUACUCUGGGGGUGGGACUUGAGCAGAACUCAAGUUUCGUGACUUGCCCAACACCUGCUUGUCUUCUGCCACUGCUUUCGGAACUAGACAGGCGAAGACCUCUGUCCUUGCGGGUUGCACAGAGGGACAGGAUAGCACGUUCCUAUGGCUGACUUUGAAAGAGCCAGGCAUAGGGCAGGUCCCGAUGCCUAGCAGAGCAGAGCGAAAUGGAGGGAUGAGGGCUUGUCGUGUGCGAUGCCUGCAUCGUUUUAAACCAGGAACUCUGAUGUCUCCGCAGCAGCUGUAAGAAAAGAGUCCUGCUGGGGAUGGACUCAUUUUAGCUUCUGCCUGCCACAUGUCAGGUCAGGUCAGAGGUAUUCCCAAGCAACGUGGUGUUUGUUACAUGGCGUGUGUUCCAGGCCAACUGAUUGACUCCAAUCAAUGCAGAUAAACUUUAUCCACUGGCAAAAUUAAUCAGCAGCCUCUGUGACUUGUGCCAACGAGAAGGCUGCUUACCCAUAACAGCGUAGUGCCUGUGGGAUGGGCUGCUCGUCUCCUUGUUUGCCUCAGCCAAACAAUUGUUCCACUGUGCACACUAGUCGGUGCGCUCCGGUCCUCUGAGAUGCUGUCUCAGCUCUGCCGUAAUAGCCAUCAGAUAAGCUGAUUAAAUCUGCAUUAAUCAUGGGGCCCAGUGCAAGUAAGGACAAUGCAAGUCCUCUUGGAUGCUGCCAGGAUGAUCAAUUAUUUUGGUGUGGACAAAUACGUGCCUUUCUAUCACUGAUGGAAGCCGUUACCUGGUGACAAUGGCCUAGCACACUGCUAUUAUGUUUUUAUUAAUGAACUUUGGGGAACACGUUCUGACCACGCCCACAUAUACAUCUGUUCAAAGAACGGAGAGCCAGAGACACUGAAUGUCAAAUUCCUUUCUGUGCCCCUACUGACUGUCUUCUAUUCUCAUCUCCCUUCAUGUGCUGUACCACCCUGAUGCUGGCUUUCUUUCCUGCCCUAGAACCAUGUUUGGUGGGGCUUUGCCUAGAAUACAGUGUUUCCUCAACAUC